rnacentral:piRNA from 1 species
ACUGAGCAGCCCCAGAGCGGCCAGC